UACGUAGGGGGCAAGCGUUGUCCGGAUUUAUUGGGCGUAAAGAGCGUGUAGGCGGCUAGACAGGUCCGUUGUGAAAACUCGAGGCUCAACCUCGAGAUGUCGAUGGAAACCGUCUGGCUAGAGUCCGGAAGAGGAGUGUGGAAUUCCUGGUGUAGCGGUGAAAUGCGCAGAUAUCAGGAAGAACACCUAUGGCGAAGGCAGCACUCUGGGACGGUACUGACGCUGAGACGCGAAAGCGUGGGGAGCGAACAGG
rnacentral:rRNA from 1 species